AUUGAACGCUGGCGGCAUGCUUUACACAUGCAAGUCGAACGGUAACAGGUUAAGCUGACGAGUGGUGAACGGGUGAGUAAUGCAUCGGAACGUGCCCGGUCGUGGGGGAUAACACUUCGAAAGAAGUGCUAAUACCGCAUACGAUCUGAGGAUGAAAACGGGGGACCGUAAGGCCUCGCGCGAUCGGAGCGGCCGAUGUCAGAUUAGGUAGUUGGUGGGGUAAAGGCUCACCAAGCCGACGAUCUGUAGCUGGUCUGAGAGGACGACCAGCCACACUGGGACUGAGACACGGCCCAGACUCCUACGGGAGGCAGCAGUGGGGAAUUUUGGACAAUGGGCGCAAGCCUGAUCCAGCAAUGCCGCGUGCAGGAAGAAGGCCUUCGGGUUGUAAACUGCUUUUGUACGGAGCGAAAAGGCUCUCUCUAAUACAGGGGGCUCAUGACGGUACCGUAAGAAUAAGCACCGGCUAACUACGUGCCAGCAGCCGCGGUAA
rnacentral:rRNA from 1 species